rnacentral:piRNA from 1 species
UCUGAGAAGAUACUGUUGUCCAACUGAUC